rnacentral:lncRNA from 1 species
AAUCAGCCACAGUUGCACAAUUUUUUAUAACAGUACAUAAAACAUCGUUAGAAGAACAUUCAUACUUCGAGACCUGUCUGCAAGACUCCGUUUAUAACAAUAGUAAAAUAACAUUUAUUU